UGGUACAGUACUUGAAGUGGGCCAUUCUAUAGAAGGUGAUACAGUACCUGAAAUGGGCCAUGCUAUAGAAGGUGGGACGGUGCAGUACCUGAAGUGGGCAAUGCUAUAGAAGAAGGUGGGACAGUACCUGAAGUGGACCAUGCUAUAGAAGGUGGGACAGUACCUGAAGUGGACCAUGCUAUAGAAGGUGGGACGGUGCAGUACCUGAAGUGGGCCAUUCUGUAGAUGGUGGUACAGUACUUGAAAUGGGCCAUGCUAUAGAAGGCGGUACAGUACCUGAAAUGGGCCAUGCUAUAGAAGGCGGUACAGUACCUGAAAUGGGCCAUGCUGAGCGUCUGCUAAAUGACUUAAAUGUAAAUGUAAGGUGGUACAGUACCUGAAGUGGGCCAUGCUAUAGAAAGUGGUACAGUACCUGAAGUGGGCAAUGCUAUAGAAGGAGGGACAGUACAGUACCUGAAGUGGGCAAUGCUAUUGAAGGUGGGACAGUACCUGAAGUGGGCCAUGCUGUAGAAGGUGGGACGGUGCAGUACCUGAAGUGGGCCAUGCUAUAGAAGGUGGGACAGUACCUGAAGUGGGCCAUACUAUAGAAGGUGGGACAGUACCUGAAUUGGGCCAUUCUAUAGAACGUGGGACAGUACCUGAAGUGUGCCAUGCUGUGGAAGCUCACAGACACACCUUCAAUUCAUCAGUUGGCCCCUGUAACAUUUCACAACCAGCACAACCAGCACCUAAGCUACUAACUUGAUCAUACACAGGAAUCUGAUACGUGUGUGUCUUACCUGUGUCUUACCUGUAUGAUGCUGUGUGCGUACUGCUCAGCUCUCUCCCAGCUGUACUCCUCUGUCUGAGGGGCUCCAGCCAGCUCAGGCCUCCGUUCCAAACAGGUAGUAUUCUGGGUACAGGUGGUGGGUAGUGCCCAGGGAGAGCUCUGCCGGCACCAGGGUGUCCAGGUACCAGUACAUCUCUCUCUCUCUCUCUCUCUCUCUCUCUCUCUCUCUCUCUCUCUCUCUCUCUCUCUCUCUCUCUCUCUCUCUCUCUCUCUCUCUCUCUCA